GCGGGUGUUGCUUAACGGUAAAGCCCCAGCCUUCCAAGCUGGUCACGUGGGUCCGACUCCCAUCACCCGCUCCA
rnacentral:tRNA from 1 species